UAAAAACAGGGGCUGUGCCGUGUCGCGCGGUCGACGGUGACUUUCCGCUGCGGUUAAACUCGUUUAAACGUUUCAUUUACCGUGCUGUUUACCGGCAUCAUGUCUCACACCGUCAUCACCACGACAACAACCACCAGGACAUCCGGGGAGAGCGGCCUGAACCUGGGCUACACCCAGACCAUCCCGGGACUGCUCAAGAUCGGACAGCUGAUCUCCCUGCUCAUCGCCUUCCUGUGUGUGUUCUGCACUCGCGGCUGGCCCAGCUGGCCGGCCUUCCAGUACUUCGAGGUGGUGACGCUGUGGUUCCUCGUAGCCUUCCUCAUCUUCUUCCUCAUGCACCUGUGCAGGCUGCAGACGAGGAUGCCCUGCAUCAACUGGCCGCUGACGGAGUUCUUCCAUUACUCUGUGGGAUGCAUCCUCAUCCUCAUCGCCUCCAUCAUCGCCUCGGCGAAUAGCGGUGGAGUUUCAGCGCUGGUGGCCGGAUCGGUGUUUGGAUUCAUAGCGACGUUCCUGAUGGCCGUGAACUUGUGGACGUCUUACAGCGUGGCUUGUGGGCCUCAGUCUGCCAUGUAAAAAGCGUCCCGUCAUGAUGGAGUCAGAUGGCUGUGUUGGCAGUUUGCUGUGUCCUGGUUCUUCUCUGCCAAGCGACCACCUGGAUAAAUCGAUGUGAUCAUAACUCUUACUGCAGAGGAGCGCCGACGCAGCACCGGCUGGGCUGGACAGCAGUCAGUGUCAUUCUUUUACUUCCUCGUUAAAUCGGACCGCUGUGGUCACGUUUCCAUGGUAACGGUGCUCUGGGUCACAUUUGAACCAUCGAAUGAGGCGUGGGCUCUAAAGCGAUGGCGCCCUCACACUGCUGUGUGCCAUAAAUGAGCGUGUCCUCACGGUUUACAGCGCCCAUCCUUCUGCUCCUUUGAAACUUCCUCGAGCUCUGCAGAAGCAGUUUGGACCACAGAUGCAUUAAAAUUACAGCAGUUCUACUUUAAAAUAUUAGUGUUGAAAUAUUUUUAUCACUCAAACACGAGUUGCAUGCUAAUGUUGUUGUUAGCAUGCUAAAAAUUUACUCAGGGGCUGUAAAACAGCAGCAUGCUAACAAAUGAAACAGGUAAAACGUCGGCAUGCCAACAAAGCAAAAGAACAAAACAUCGUCAUUUUUGGCGAGUAAAGACACGUGGCAGAAAUCGUUAUUUCUUUGAUUGUCAGGAAGCCCGUGGGCGGAGUCUAACCUGCUGGAGGUUCAGUUUGUUUUAGCCAGCUGGGUCAUUUUUAAAGAUUCAAGGAAGCUGAAGACGCUGCAUGUAAACAGUGCAAACCACACGCAUGUAAACAGGUUGCAAGUUUUAAUGAUUGAAAAAAUCUCACAUUGAUUAUGUGGGUCAGUAAUGAUGUCAUUGUUCAUUUAUAUUACAAAACAAGCUGCAGAUAAAUAUAAGAACCAGUUUGACUCAUGGACACGCCCACUUACAUUAAAGACAAACGUCUCCAGCUGUUCUGCUUGAGAUGCUCGAAAACCCGACAAAUACAUCAGAAAACACGCGGUUCAGUUUGUGUCGCGUUAAAUCAGACCACAGCUGGGAGCCGUGUGUCCCGUAGACACAUGUACAGGAGAUAAACCUGAAUGUUUUUGUGUGUCGAGAGGUGUUCUGUGGGAAGCUCCAGUGUUUGAUGUCUGCUUGUGGGAUUUACUGACAAUAAGAGAAAUAAAGGCCAAAGCACAGCGUCUGUGUUAUGGAGGAAGAACAUGUAAUAUGUCAUUGACGUGGAUUCAAUCUGUAACUGAACAGUUUAGAGACGUUUCAGCAGGAACUGCAGAUUAUUGUAAUUACUCUUUUUGUUCAGCUGUCCUCGGUGCUUAAAAGAACCAAACUUUUAGCCAUUUGAAUUUAAAAUUCAGUCUGAAUUUUGUAUUUAAAAAGCACAUCUGUGAUUAUUUUAGAGGAUGCCAAAAGAGAGCGAUGUAUAAAUUAUAUCAGGAUUAAAAAUGAACUGUGUGGAAAUCUGUGCAGAUUAAUAAAUGUAAUGACAUGGAUUCAUUCAGAUUAUCCAAAUAUUCACGUGAUUAAUGAUCAAUGAUACUUCGUUCAGACGCGCUGAGAUGGAUUCAAAUGAACCAAAGAGAUUAAAAGUGUGUAUCUAUGGACAGACGAAGACAUAUUGUAGUAAAUAUUAAACAUCAUCCAUUUAAAAGUGUUUGGAUUUAUAAUUAUAUGUUGGAAGCUACAUUUUUGGAGAAUGUGUGUUUUCCAAAAGAAGUCAUUGCAACGCCACAUCAGUGAACGCACAGACGAGCUAACAAUGAAAAGAUGCUGUAAAUAUUCAAUGUGCUGCACUGAGCGCAGCGUGUUAGCCGUUUUACAAUCGUCCGACUGUUUAAGCACAAUCUCUGCGUACCUCUCCCAGCCCGUUCGUUCUGAUCAUAGUUAUUUAAUCUGUGCUUUCACUCAGUGACAGAAAACUUUUAUUAAUCUGCACACGGUGACGUCCACUCCCGCUAACUGCUAGCUCCGACCGCAUGCAGCACCUCUGGGCUGUCAGCUCUGCAAACAUCUCUGAUUGACUCAACGCUCAGUUGAACUUACGUGGAAAAUGAAGUCACACCUCUGAACCUAAAAACUUUAACGUGAACAAUCGUUACGAAUCGAGACAGAGACGCCAAAUGUGGCAGGUAGCCAACGUUAGCCGAGACGUUAGCUUACAGCUAAGUGAUUAUUAAAACAAAUUGAAGAGACAGAAUUAAGAGUUUGUUGAAAAUGGUUAAACCAUGCUUAUGUUUUCUGUUGACUGUGCAUUACUGAUACAUAGUUAACAUUUUAUUAAAUGGAAUUUAAUGAAGAGGUUAAUAUAGCAGCACUAGCUAACAAGCGUGACCUAGCAUGACUAUUGUUGAUGCCACGCCCAUUUUUUCUCGGCUGCACUGCCGAUCUGAUUGGACAGGAGGGGAGUUCAUGCUAACAUGUCAGUGUUCACAUGACAGCUGCUGCUUGUCUUAUUGGUCUUUAAUAACAAAGUGCCAUUUAUUGUUUGAUUGUUUUUAGCGAUUAAUCCCAGUUUACAGGUGUGCAGAUAAACUGCUGUGAACGUCUUGGAGGAAAAACACAUUUCCAGUUUUUCUGCUGCGUGUUCUUCAUAGAACCCAAACUGGUUUCGCUUUAAUUCUUAGAAUAAAAAGGCUCAAAGUUAGACCCUUUUCUGCCACCUGUCGUUAACAAACGAGUAAAACCAUUCGGUGUGUAACGAUAAUCCUGAGAUUACUGCCUUACUGUGCGAUGCUUCUGACUGUGCACUGAAUGUGUCUGAAAUUUCCUCUGAAGUAGCUCAGAGCACCAAAUGAAGGCCUGACCUCUAAUUGGAUUCAAACUGAAUGUUAAACUGUGGAAGGUUUACACAGUACUUUGUAGUACAUUUAAAUACCCGUUAGUGUCUGAUCCUGGAGCCUCUACACACUGUGUGACAUCGUAACGGGUUCCUGCUCGACUGGUCUGUGGGAACCGUCAGGAUGUUCUAGUUGGUGUAGGAACUUGAUGAAAGCAUGUGAGCUUUUUGUACGAAUGCUUUCAGCUUCAGACAACUUCAUAAACUAACUUUAAAAAGCAUAAUUAGGUUGUGGUGGCUUAGCGGUGCAGCGGUUUGAGCUUCAUGUUCUCCCUGUCUGGGUUUCCUCUCACAGUCCAAAGACGUAGGUGGGGUGACCUGUCCAGGGUACAAGCCCCGCCCACAGGGUUUCAGUAGUAAAACGUGCCACUGACUGAGACACUGAAUAAGAGCGGUCACUCAGCUCUUCGUUAUCUGAAGCUGGUCAUGAAGUCAUGUGACCCUGCAGGUAGAGACUGCGAGUUCCUCAUACAGUCACGGUCCUGUUUGAUAGGCUGCAGGGACUGACUUCACAACAGUGACAUCACAUCCUGCCUGCUCCCAGUGAGUCCGGUACGUCAGGGCCUGAACCCCUGAGGGUCGCACAGUGUGGAGGGGUUCCCGUCCCAUUAACGUCACGUGUCUCAUAAGCUUUAUUUCACGCUGUGAUGCUGUUCGUAAUGGUGCACCAUGCUCACUUGCUGUGCUCGCUGCCUCUUUGGUUUCCUGUCUGCACCAGCUUCAUUUGUAAGAGUUUGGUUUCUUAUGCACUGAUAAGCUUACUGCAGCAGGCCGUUACAUCAUCGUGUUAAAUCACAACACGUGAAAAGAUUUACAUUUGAGUUUUGUAUGUAUUUACUAUUUCUAUGGUUGAACUUUUACUAUGCUGUUUUUCCAGUUUGGGAUAAAAUUCAAACUUUUCUUGUUUCUGUUUCCUUGGACUUAUUUUUUUUACCCUAAAGCUGGGCUUUAAUUUUCCGUCUGGAUGUUUUGCGUGAAUCCAAAACGAAGGUGUUUGUCAGUCAGAGUGGGACAGCGAUGUGGUUUUCCUGAAGGCUAUUUGAAGGCGUUGCUGUGAGCGUUUACAGUUAUUUCCAUGCCUCGAGUACUCUGAUGGAUCCGGGCUCCACCAUAGACAAACCACACUGUUUACAUUAUUUAUUUUGGCUCCAGCUUGAUGAUGAUAUUCUCACUGAUGCAAAGUGACCUGAUGUAUGGCUGCGUGUCCACUGGGGGACAGAAACAUUCAUUAGACUGGCUAUGAAUCUGGACCGCUGAUAAUACAUUACUGCUCAUUACAUUUUUCACUGUCGGAGGGAAACGACUCGGUCUCCAGGUGAGAUUUGUUUGUACAAAUGUUCCAGUUUAGUGGAAAGCAGCCAAAGCUCGUAUGCAAUUGGGCAAGACUUGGAAGUCUUCUAGUUGUACAAGUCUUGACCCUGUUUUCUACACAUGCCACAGAUUCAUUUACAGCAGCACCAGGCUCAGGGAGGGGCGGGGCCAAUCACUGUGAUUGGUUGGUGAGAGAAGGAAGACAGGAUGAAGACAUGCU